UGGGGAAUAUUGGACAAUGGGCGCAAGCCUGAUCCAGCCAUGCCGCGUGAGUGACGAAGGCCUUAGGGUUGUAAAGCUCUUUUGGCGGGGACGAUAAUGACGGUACCCGCAGAAUAAGUCCCGGCUAACUUCGUGCCAGCAGCCGCGGUAAUACGAAGGGGACUAGCGUUGUUCGGAAUCACUGGGCGUAAAGCGCACGUAGGCGGAUUGUUAAGUCAGGGGUGAAAUCCCGGGGCUCAACCUCGGAACUGCCUUUGAUACUGGCGAUCUCGAGUCCGGAAGAGGUGGGUGGAAUUCCUAGUGUAGAGGUGAAAUUCGUAGAUAUUAGGAAGAACACCAGUGGCGAAAGGCGGCCCACUGGUCCGGAACUGACGCUGAGGUGCGAAAAGCGUGGGGAGCAAAACAGGAUUAGAUACCCUGGUAGUCCACGCCGUAAAACGAUGGAUGCUAGCCGUCGGCAAGCUUGCUUGUCGGUGGCGCAGCUAACGCAUUAAGCAU
rnacentral:rRNA from 1 species